rnacentral:lncRNA from 1 species
GAGCGAGAGAGAUGAAUUAAUUAAAAAGUUAAAAGGUGCAGAUUAGCCCCUGAACUCCGAAAAAAUGGUGCAGAUCGCCCCCUUGACUAACGGCCCAUAACGGUGUUAAGUCAGAGGGGCCGAUCUGCACCGUUUUUUUGAGUUCGGGGGCCAAUUUGCACACACAGUUAGUAAGGGGACUGAAACGCUCUAAGGGCCUCCACUUGAGGGGCCUAUCUGCACCUUAACCCUAAUAAUAAUAAUAAAAAAAAUUAAAAUUCCUACACCGCAAAAACAGAGAACACGCCUUUCUCACAGAUCUCUUCUCUCACAAAACAGAGCACACACAGCAACUACGCCGCAUCCUCUCCGGCGAGAGCCGCCGUCGGCCACCGCCGCAGCACCUACUCUCUAUCUUUGUCGAUCCUGCCUCUCCCUCUCCUCUCCAUUGCUCGAUUCUCUCAGACAUCUUUCCAUAUCAGCUAUUUUACGCUUAAUCUUUAAUUAUCCACAAAAUUAGCUACAUACAAAACCCUCAAUUAAAAUGCACCCAAUUUGAGGAAUGAUUCGAGUUUCUGGAACCAGAUUUUGAUCUGUUUGGGCUGUGGAUAAUGGAGCAUUGGGCUGCAGAGAAUGGGGCAUUUCCUAAUGAGCUGCUGGCGGCGCAACGAGCUCAGGUUGGAAGAUUAUGCCUUUAUUUGCUGCUUGGUUGAUUCAUUUGCCUAGUUAUAGCACACUUCAAUUAAAUUGCUACGGAUUUAUGUAGAUGGGAUAUGUUGGGAAGAAACUAGGAAUUGAUUUUGUGAUCUCCACCGAUGAUAACUUUUACACUAAUAAAAAUAAUGUCAUUUUUAUAA